GAUGAACGCUGGCGGCGUGCCUAAUACAUGCAAGUCGAGCGAACAGACGAGGAGCUUGCUCCUCUGACGUUAGCGGCGGACGGGUGAGUAACACGUGGAUAACCUACCUAUAAGACUGGGAUAACUUCGGGAAACCGGAGCUAAUACCGGAUAAUAUAUUGAACCGCAUGGUUCAAUAGUGAAAGACGGUUUUGCUGUCACUUAUAGAUGGAUCCGCGCCGCAUUAGCUAGUUGGUAAGGUAACGGCUUACCAAGGCGACGAUGCGUAGCCGACCUGAGAGGGUGAUCGGCCACACGGGAACUGAGACACGGUCCAGGCUCCUACGGGAGGCAGCAGUAGGGAAUCGUCCGCAAUGGGCGAAAGCCUGACGGAGCAACGCCGCGUGAGUGAUGAAGGUCUUCGGAUCGUAAAACUCUGUUAUUAGGGAAGAACAAAUGUGUAAGGAACUAUGCACGGCUUGACGGUACCGAAUCAGAAAGCCACGGCUAACUACGUG
rnacentral:rRNA from 1 species